rnacentral:rRNA from 1 species
GGAAUCAACGCUGGCGGCGUGCCUAACACAUGCAAGUCGAACGAGAAAGUGGAGCAAUCCAUGAGUAAAGUGGCGACCGGGUGAGUAACACGUGACUAACCUACCUUCGAGUGGGGGAUAACCUCGGGAAACCGAGGCUAAUACCGCAUAACAUCGCAAGAUCAAAGCAGCAAUGCGCUGGAAGAGGGGGUCGCGGCUGAUUAGCUAGUUGGCGGGGUAAUGGCCCACCAAGGCGAAGAUCGGUA